rnacentral:rRNA from 1 species
CACGUAGGGUGCAAGCGUUGUUCGGAAUCAUUGGGCGUAAAGCGCGUGUAGGCGGUUUGGUAAGUCGGGUGUGAAAUCCCUGGGCUUAACCGAGGAAGUGCAUUCGAAACUAUCUGGCUAGAAGACGGUAGAGGAAGGUGGAAUUCCUAGUGUAGAGGUGAAAUUCGUAGAUAUUAGGAGGAAUACCGGUGGCGAAGGCGGCCUUCUGGACCGAUCUUGACGCUGAGACGCGAAAGCGUGGGGAGCAAACAGG